GACGAACGCUGGCGGCGUGCCUAAUACAUGCAAGUAGAACGCUGAAGAGAGGAGCUUGCUCUUCUUGGAUGAGUUGCGAACGGGUGAGUAACGCGUAGGUAACCUGCCUUGUAGCGGGGGAUAACUAUUGGAAACGAUAGCUAAUACCGCAUAACAAUGGAUGACACAUGUCAUUUAUUUGAAAGGGGCAAUUGCUCCACUACAAGAUGGACCUGCGUUGUAUUAGCUAGUAGGUGAGGUAAUGGCUCACCUAGGCGACGAUACAUAGCCGACCUGAGAGGGUGGUCGGCCACACUGGGACUGAGACACGGCCCAGACUCCUACGGGAGGCAGCAGUAGGGAAUCUUCGGCAAUAGGGGCAACCCUGACCGAGCAACGCCGCGUGAGUGAAGAAGGUUUUCGGAUCGUAAAGCUCUGUUGUAAGUCAAGAACGGGUGUGAGAGUGGAAAGUUCACACUGUGACGGUAGCUUACCAGAAAGGGACGGCUAACUACGUG
rnacentral:rRNA from 1 species